AAUAUGUCUUAUUAUAUUUGAAAUAGCUACCCAUGCCAUCAGAUAUAAUAAAGUCAAACAAGACAAAACAGAAUAAAACCCAACCCAAUGAAACAGUGGAAAUGAUACAGGAUUUCGAAACAAGACAAUAGAGAAUUAUCAAUGGCCACCACCUUCAGAAGGAGAUCCUCCAUGGAUGCUACAUUAUGUAUUGUUAUCCUUCGAAUAGAUGAUCAGACUACUGGCUUUAUGUCUUCAAGAUGAACUUGGAAUCACUUUGUCAAGUAUCCCCUCCUACAAUUUGUGCCCCA
rnacentral:lncRNA from 1 species